CGAGGGUGGCAAGCGUUAUCCGGAUUUACUGGUUUAAAGGGUAGCGCAGGUGGGUAGGAAAGUCAGUGGUGAAAUCUUCGGGCUUAACCCGGAAACUGCCAUUGAUACUAUUUAUCUUGAAUACUUUGGAGGUAAGCGGAAUAUGUCAUGUAGCGGUGAAAUGCUUAGAUAUGACAUAGAACACCAAUUGCGAAGGCAGCUUACUACACAGUUAUUGACACUGAGGCACGAAAGCGUGGGGAUCAAACAGGAUUAGAUACCCUGGUAGUCCACGCCCUAAACGAUGGAUACUCGACAUCAGCGAUACACUGUUGGUGUCUGAGCGAAAGCAUUAAGUAUCCCACCUGGGAAGUACGAUCGCAAGAUUG
rnacentral:rRNA from 1 species